AUGUACGUGUGUGCGCGUGUAGGAGCCUGCAUCGCCAGCGCAUUUUACAGCUCCCCGCAGCACCCGGACGGAGCUCUGCGGACUGCGGCUACUCUUCCUUUGCGGGCACUCCCCGCGGCACCUAAUCGUCCAGAACGAGCCCGCUUUGUUUGCGCAAUUGGGAGAAAGGACGCGGCGCCGAAGCCAGGACCCCCGGCUGCGUGCCCGCGGCUGCGAGGCGCUUCCAGGUCCGCACCGGAGCCCCCGCCACACCGCCCGCCCCGGCGCAGCCUCCAGGCCCGGCCCCGGCCGCCCCCCCCCGCAGCCCGCGCGGCCCCGGCCCCGGCCCCGGCCCCGGAGCGCCCGCCCGGCGGCCCCCGCCCCCGCGCCCCCGCGCCCCCGCGCCCCCCCGCCCCGCGCCGCCGCUCACCGACUCCGUGGGCCCCCGACGCUCGGUCCUCCGGCCGCGCCACCUGCCCAGGGCCCCGCGCCCCGCGCCCCGCGCCCCCGCCCCGCGCCCGGCGCCCGCCCCUCCGUCGGCUCCGCUCGCGCACGCGCGCCGCCGCCCGGGGCCUCUCUAGGAAGCUGGGAGGGCCAACGUCUCGGCUUCUCCCAGCGCCCGCGGGAGGCAGGCGGGCCUGCGAGCGCGAGGCUUGGCCCCCGGCGCCCCCCGCCCCGGGGCCCUGCCCCUCCGCGCCGCCGCGCCCCGCCCUCCGGGUCCGCCCCCCGCCCUCCGACGCCAGGGUAGCCCCGGAGCCCAGGAGCCCACACCCCUUCCAACAGGUGGUGGGAAGGCCCGGCUGCCCCCCACCCCGCCCCGGGGAGGAACAGGAUCCCAAACCAGGGGGCAAAGCACGGAGCACGAGCGAGCUUGUGGCUGACCGGUUCUGGCCGAAGGGAGAGCUGGUAAGGGGCCGCGCAUCACUCCAGGAGGACCUCUUCCCUCCCUCGUCACCACCACAGCUGGGGGCACUUGCUGGCCUCCAGCCGCGCACACACAACUGCACCUCCCAUGACCUCCAGUUGUUUACUUUUGAACAAACGUCAACUGCGGGACCCAAGAAAUUCAGAGAAUGUCCCCCACCUCUGGCCCCUAGAUGA
rnacentral:lncRNA from 1 species